rnacentral:rRNA from 1 species
GCCUACGGGGGGCAGCAGUGGGGAAUAUUGCACAAUGGGGGAAACCCUGAUGCAGCGAUGCCGCGUGGAGGAAGAAGGUUUUCGGAUUGUAAACUCCUUUUAUCAGGGACGAUAAUGACGGUACCUGAAGAAAAAGCUCCGGCUAACUACGUGCCAGCAGCCGCGGUAAUACGUAGGGAGCGAGCGUUGUCCGGAAUUACUGGGUGUAAAGGGAGCGUAGACGGCUGUGCAAGUCUGAAGUGAAAUGCCGGGGCCCAACCCCGGAACUGCUUUGGAAACUGUACAGCUAGAGUGCAGGAGGGGUG